rnacentral:rRNA from 1 species
UGAGCAACCUACCGAACUGUGGGGGAUAGCCGGCCUAACGGCCGAGUAAUACCGCAUACGCUCUUAGGGAGGCAUUUCUUUGAGAGGAAACCUACGGGACAGAUCGAGGGGCUCGCGGCCUAUCAGCUAGUUGGCGAGGUAACGGCUCACCAAGGCAACGACGGGUAGCUGGUCUGAGAGGAUGGCCAGCCANAUUGGGACUGAGACACGGCCCAGACUCCGUACGGGNGCAGCAGG